GAUGAACGCUAGCUACAGGCUUAACACAUGCAAGUCGAGGGGCAGCGCAGUGUAGCAAUACACGGGCGGCGACCGGCGCAUGGGUGCGUAACGCGUAUCCAACCUUCCCGUUACUCUCGGAUAGCCUUCCGAAAGGGAGAUUAAUACGAGAUGGUGUUGAAAUUCCGCAUGUUAUUUCAACUAAAGAUUCAUCGGUAACGGAUGGGGAUGCGUGACAUUAGGUAGAUGGCGGGGUAACGGCCCACCAUGCCUACGAUGUCUAGGGGUUCUGAGAGGAAGGUCCCCCACACUGGAACUGAGACACGGUCCAGACUCCUACGGGAGGCAGCAGUGGGGAAUAUUGGGCAAUGGGCGCAAGCCUGACCCAGCAACGCCGCGUGAAGGAAGAAGGCUUUCGGGUUGUAAACUUCUUUUAAGAGGGAAGAGUAGAAGACGGUACCUCUUGAAUAAGCCACGGCUAACUACGUG
rnacentral:rRNA from 1 species